rnacentral:lncRNA from 1 species
UGCUAUUAGGAGCACGGAGCCCUCCGUGCUCCUAAGCCGUUUUCGAUGAUGGGACUUUCGAAUCAACGAUCGGCUUCGUUAGACUUGAUCUAGUGUAUUUGAACUAUCUAGAAAAUAUUUUUGCAGAUUUUUUAUAUCAUUUACCUAGUGAUCGAAAGAAUUCAAAAUCAACAAUUUUUAAUGGUUGAUAUCUGCCGUUUGCAAGUUUAGCUGUGUAGAAGUAGUCAAAUCAAAUGAAAUUUUGAUAGAAAAUUCUUUAUACUAUUUAUAACAAGAUCAAUAUCUCUGAUCAAAAAUUUUAGUGAUACAUCAUAACUUUUUGUGAGAUUUUUAUUUUCAACCGUUGAUUUUGAAUCCUUUUGAUCACUAGGUAAAUGGUAAAUGAUAUCGAAAAAUUACAAAAAUUAUUUUCUAGAUAGUUCAAAUACGCUAGAUUAAGUUUAACGGAGA